UAAGCCAAGUUUGGUGAGGUUGCAAAGA
rnacentral:piRNA from 1 species